UACGGAGGGGACUAGCGUUGUUCGGAAUUACUGGGCGUAAAGCGCACGUAGGCGGAUUGUUAAGUCGGGGGUGAAAUCCUGGAGCUCAACUUCAGAACUGCCUUCGAUACUGGCGAUCUUGAGUCCGGGAGAGGUGAGUGGAACUCCGAGUGUAGAGGUGAAAUUCGUAGAUAUUCGGAAGAACACCAGUGGCGAAGGCGGCUCACUGGCCCGGUACUGACGCUGAGGUGCGAAAGCGUGGGGAGCAAACAGG
rnacentral:rRNA from 1 species